GGCGAACGGGUGAGUAAUAUAUCGGAACGUGCCCAGUAGUGGGGGAUAACUGCUCGAAAGAGCAGCUAAUACCGCAUACGACCUGAGGGUGAAAGGGGGGGAUCGCAAGACCUCUCGCUAUUGGAGCGGCCGAUGGCUGAUUAGCUAGUUGGUGGGGUAAAGGCCUACCAAGGCGACGAUCAGUAGCUGGUCUGAGAGGACGACCAGCCACACUGGGACUGAGACACGGCCCAGACUCCUACGGGAGGCAGCAGUGGGGAAUUUUGGACAAUGGGCACAAGCCUGAUCCAGCAAUGCCGCGUGUGCGAAGAAGGCCUUCGGGUUGUAAAGCACUUUUGUUUGGAAAGAAAAGGUCAGCGCUAAUACCGCUGGCUGAUGACGGUACCAAUCGAAUAAGCACCGGCUAACUACGUGCCAGCAGCCGCGGUAAUACGUAGGGUGCGAGCGUUAAUCGGAAUUACUGGGCGUAAAGCGUGCGCAGGCGGCU
rnacentral:rRNA from 1 species